GGCAACGGCCAUACCAUGUUGAAUACACCGGUUCUCGUCCGAUCACCGAAGUUAAGCAGCAUUGGGCGCGGUUAGUACUUGGAUGGGUGACCGCUUGGGAACACCGCGUGCCGUUGGCA
rnacentral:rRNA from 1 species